UGGGGAAUCUUCCGCAAUGGACGAAAGUCUGACGGAGCAACGCCGCGUGAGUGAUGACGGUCUUCGGAUUGUAAAGCUCUGUUAAUCGGGACGAAUAAUCUGCAUAAGUGACGGUACCGAAAAAGCAAGCCACGGCUAACUACGUGCCAGCAGCCGCGGUAAUACGUAGGUGGCAAGCGUUGUCCGGAAUUAUUGGGCGUAAAGCGCGCGCAGGCGGCUACUUAAGUCCAUCUUAAAAGUGCGGGGCUUAACCCCGUGAUGGGAUGGAAACUGAGAAGCUGGAGUGUCGGAGAGGAAAGUGGAAUUCCUAGUGUAGCGGUGAAAUGCGUAGAUAUUAGGAGGAAUACCGGUGGCGAAGGCGACUUUCUGGACUUUUACUGACGCUCAGGUACGAAAGCGUGGGGAGCAAACAGGA
rnacentral:rRNA from 1 species